UCAGUCGACUCCUACGGGGAGGCAGCAGUGAGGAAUAUUGGUCAAUGGGCGCAAGCCUGAACCAGCCAUGCCGCGUGCAGGAAGACUGCCCUAUGGGUUGUAAACUGCUUUAUACAGGAAGAAACACUCCCUCGUGAGGGAGCUUGACGGUACUGUAAGAAUAAGGAUCGGCUAACUCCGUGCCAGCAGCCGCGGUAAUACGGAGGAUCCAAGCGUUAUCCGGAAUCAUUGGGUUUAAAGGGUCCGUAGGUGGAUUAGUAAGUCAGAGGUGAAAUCCUGCAGCUCAACUGUAGAACUGCCUUUGAUACUGCUAGUCUUGAGUCAUUAUGAAGUGGUUAGAAUGUGUAGUGUAGCGGUGAAAUGCAUAGAUAUUACACAGAAUACCGAUUGCGAAGGCAGAUCACUAAUAAUGUACUGACACUGAUGGACGAAAGCGUGGGGAGCGAACAGGAUUAGAUACCCUGGUAG
rnacentral:rRNA from 1 species